rnacentral:lncRNA from 1 species
CCCGCCAUGGCCGUUCCUCAUUGUUUUGCGUUUUACGGCCAUAAAACUAGAAUUCCUCCUGAUUCCCAUAUUUUCAUGUGCUAUAGCCCACGCCUUUCGAGUGGGUCCAGCCCCUGGACCCCGAUCGCCUAAAAUUAUUCGGGGCCAUCAAAUAUGACCUAAGGUACCAUAGUCACCUCCCCGCCAUGACCGUUCCUCGUUGUUUUGCGUUUUACGGCCAGAAAACAAAAAUUCCGCCCGAUUCCCAUAUAUUCGUGUGCUAUUAUAGCACACGCCUUCCGAGUGGGUCCGGGCCCCCGGACCCCGAUCGCCUAAAAUUAUUCUGGGCCAUCAAAUUCGACAUAAGGAACCAUAGUCACCGCCUCGCCUUGGCCGUUCCUCGUUUUUUUGCGUUUUACGGCCAAAAAACUAGAAUUCCGCUCGAUUCCUAUAUAUUCGUGUGCACGCCUUCCGAGUGGGUCCGGGGGGCCCGGACCCCGAUUGCCUAAAAUUAUUCCGGGCCAUCAAAUACGACCUAAGGAACCAUAGUCACCGCCCCGCCAUGGCCGUUCCUCGUUGUUUUGCGUUUCACGCCCAAAAAACUAGAAUUUCGCCUGAUUCCCAUAAUUUCGUGUGCUACUCCUUCCGAGUGGGUCCGGGCCCCCGGACCCUGAUAGCCUAAAAUUUUUCCUGGCCAUCAAAUACGACCUAAGGAACCAUUAUCACCGCCCUGCCAUGGCCGUUCCUCGUUGUUUUGCAUUUUACGGCCAAAAAACUAGAAUU